rnacentral:rRNA from 1 species
GAUGAACGCUGGCGGCGUGCCUAAUACAUGCAAGUCGAGCGAACAGACGAGGAGCUUGCUCCUCUGACGUUAGCGGCGGACGGGUGAGUAACACGUGGAUAACCUACCUAUAAGACUGGGAUAACUUCGGGAAACCGGCGCUAACACCGGAUAAUAUAUUGAACCGCAUGGUUCAAUAGUGAAAGACGGUUUUGCUGUCACUUCUAGAUGGAUCCGCGCCGCAUUAGCUAGUUGGUAAGGUAACGGCUUACCAAGGCAACGAUGCGUAGCCGACCUGAGAGGGUGAUCGGCCACACUGGAACUGAGACACGGUCCAGACUCCUACGGGAGGCAGCAGUAGGGAAUCUUCCGCAAUGGGCGAAAGCCUGACGGAGCAACGCCGCGUGAGUGAUGAAGGUCUUCGGAUCGUAAAACUCUGUUAUUAGGGAAGAACAAAUGUGUAAGUAACUAUGCACGUCUUGACGGUACCUAAUCAGAAAGCCACGGCUAACUACGUG